AUGACCUGGACUCCUCUCCUCGUUCUCCUCGCUCACUGCACAGGCGCUCUCACACAGCCACCCUCAGUGUCCAUGUCCCUGGGACAGUCGGCCAGGAUCACCUGAGGGGGGAGCAGCACAGAAGACUAUUCUGUGCACUGGUACCAGCAGAAGCCAGGCCAGGCCCCUGUGCUGGUCAUCUAUAGUGAUAGCAGCUGACCCUCAGGGAUCCCUGCCCGAUUCUCUGGCUCCAACGUGGAGAACACAGCCACCCUGAUCAUCAGCGGGGCCUGGGCCAAGGAUGAGGCUGACUAUUACUGUGCUAGCUAUAGAAACUCUUCAUCGUGGUACAUCUUCGGCGGCGGGACCCACCUCACCGUCCUAGGUGGGCCCAAGUCUGCGCCCUCGGUCAGUCUGUUCCCGCCCUCCAAGGAGGAGCUCAGCGCCAACAAGGCCACACUGGUGUGUCUCGUCAGUGACUUCUACCCCAGCGGCGUGACGGUGGCCUGGAAGGCAGACGGCACCACCAUCACCCAGGGCGUGGAGACCACCAAGCCCUCGAAACAGAGCAACAACAAGUACGUGCUCAGCAGCUACCUGACGCUGACACCUGACAAGUGGAAAUCUCACAGCAGUGUCAGCUGCCAGGUCACGCACGAAGGGAGCACCGUGGAGAAGAAAGUGGCCCCCUCAGAGUGUUCUUAGGUCCCU